UAUGGUUAUACCAUCCAUCCUGAAUGUGUCUAAUCUCAUUUGAUCUCAAAAGCUAAGCAGGGUCAGACCUGAUUAGUACUUGGAUGGGAAAAAAAAAUCAAAGCACAGUGACUGUCAUAU
rnacentral:rRNA from 1 species